AUGUAUAUAUGUGUGUGCUUUGUGCAGUUCUCUCUCUUUGGAUACAGUGGGAGAACUGGCCCGAAACAUUGGGGGAGCUUAAGUCCUAAUUUCACGGUUUGCGCAAAAGGAAUCUACCAGUCUCCAAUUAACAUCGUGAGAGAUUGUGUGGUACGCGACCCACGAAUGGAGCCCCUAAAGAGAUAUUAUACUUCUACAAAUGCUACAAUGAUUGACAACGUCUUCAACAUUGCGUUGCGAUAUAAUGACACUGUUGGGACUGUCAUGGUGGAUGGAAAGACGUAUAAAUUGAAGCAAUUGCAUUGGCACUCUCCCUCGGAGCAUACCAUCAAUGGCAAGAGAUUUGUCGUGGAACUCCACAUGGUGCACUACACAGAUGAUGGGAAUAUUACUGUUGUUUCAAUACUUUAUCGACACGGAAAACCAGAUCAUUUCCUUUGUCAGAUAAAGGAUAAGUUAGCUGAAUUGUCUGCGGAGGGCUGCAAAGCUGAGAAAGGUGACCCUCUCCCCGUUGGAGUGGUGAAUAUGAAGGAACUAAUGCAGGAUGAGGAUAGGUAUUUCAGAUAUGUUGGAUCUCUCACCGCACCUCCAUGCACGGAGAAUGUGAUCUGGAAUAUUCUUGGCGAGAUAAGAGAAAUGACAAAGGAGCAGGCUGUUGCUUUGAUGGCUCCUCUGGAGAAGAGUUACAGGCAGAACAGUAGGCCGAUACAAUCAUUGAAUGGUCGCACUGUGCAACUUUAUGACAUGUCACACAAUCAAAAUACUCGUUAG
rnacentral:rRNA from 1 species